GAAGCUCCCUAAGCUGGUGGAAUUCCGGUGCCAAAAGGAGAGCUUAGUUUAAGGCACGAGCUGGACGCUUUGGAAGAUUUGCUUUCUGCGUAUGUGACAUAAAAUAGCAUUGGAUUUUUAACCUGGAAACAAUACAAUACAAUAGUGACUCAGCAAGUGACUCUUGCAAUGAUGAAGGUUAUGUUGGUAGGGACAACUGACCUUGUUGAUGAAUACCAACAAUUCUGAUGGCAGAGCAUGCUGAGUCAGGUCGAGCUGCCUUUUGUACUCACGUGCUAUUUUUCGGUGCACCGUACGGCUAGGGUUGAAUGCAAAGUCCUGCGGUAUUAGAUAACCGUGACGUCGAAGGCGUUUGCUAGAAACUGCCACAAUGUAGACCUUAGUAGAAAAGGGAAUAAGUUUCCACUUGGGAAGGGCCUGGUAUGGAGAAUUAAGUGUGAUUGCUAGACAAACGCAUCUUACAGUGCCUUUGUGAAGGAAGCUCGUAUGACACAUUUUUACCGGGGUAGAACUUAAGAAAAAGACAUUAAGUGAUAAAUCCAUUCGUAGGAAUGGCCCUGUGGACCUCUGUGAUGGGACAUCUGGUGGAAUCUCACAGGCAGGACUCAUGAGGAAGCUGGAUAACUGAACAAAGCCAUGUGGAGUUUGAAUCAGGUGGACAGUUCUAAAAGUACAAAUGAUUUCGUAUAAAGGUACCACAUGUGGGUCCCUUUAACUGAAGGCAUGGCAAGCUCCACACAAGGUCCUUCAUUUCUGAAUUUCAAGGGCUCCUCUGACAAGUGGACAGUGCAGUGGGUGCACCUUUUCCAGAGGUGACUGGAUGGAUGCUUGAACAGAAGAUUUGCCAAAUAGACAUUGUGCUGUCAAGAAUUUUACCAUUAAAAGUGCAUUAUUGUAGC
ensembl:lncRNA